AAUUGGGGUUAAGGUGAGAGGAUAUCAACAUGGCAAGACAGGAAGACAGAAGGAUUUAUAGCCCAGCACAGCUCUGUUUAUAACAACCUGCUUUGAGGGAACUAAGCAGGAUCUUACGAGAACUACACUAAUCCCUUACCAGCCCCCCAGGUAUACCUCAGCACCAGCUCACCUGUCAGGCUUCACUUCUGAAAAGUUCUGCAAUCACCUAAUGCCACCACUCUGGCUAAAACCUCAAUGGUCCAGUGAUGCUGUGACGCUCCAGGGCAAGAUCACACCAGCUGAGGACAUGCUGGGAGGAACAAAAUCUUCAUCUGCAUAGUUCCUCAUUGUUCUAGGAUUUUCGCUACUGCAGCCCUGAGCCACCUUUUAUAUUUGUUACUCCCGAUGCACUGAAUUGGCUGCCCUCUGGGUCAUCUGUUACAUUUGUUACUCCCGGUAUUACACCAAAUAAAGGUGUGGCAAGCUCCAGGUCUUUUGUCUUUGCCGCCCAGAGCAGCAUUGAUCAGGCCCAAAGCUCAGCUUCUUCUCUCAGUCUCAUUUUUCUGUCUUUUCUGUAUAAUUAAUUAACUUGCCUUGUGCUAUCGUGGCUCACAAGAGACGAGGACUUACUGCAGAAGUUCUAGUAAUGCUUUCCCUGUUGUUCCCUACAGUUAUUAGUUUUCCCAGUCCCUUUCCCUGUUACCUACACAUGGGAUUCUGGUAUUCAUGGGGUCCAGGAACCAAUCCUCCAUAGAUCCUGAAGGA
rnacentral:lncRNA from 1 species